UUUAAAAAUCCUGUUUUAAAAUUAUUUUUACGGAUUUUUCUUUCUUUCAAAAAACUAAUUUAUUUUAAUUAAUAUAUUUGGAUUUGGAUAAUAACUGGAUUAUACCGAAUUCAAAAUAAUUUAACCGGUUAAUAACCAUUUAAUUAUAUCCGGAUUAUAUGAAUGGAUAACCAAAGCAUUAAUAAUUAAACCGGUUAAUAACCAUUCAAUUAUAUCCGAAUAUUUAAAAAUGGUUUAGAUUUGGUUAUGGAUUUGAGCAUCACAACUAGAUAUUUUGCACACCCCUAAUCCAAGAAUCCUAUUCGUACAAUUGGUGAUGCUCUGAAGAAGGUAAAUUCCAUCACAAAGGUAAAGAAUGCCUCAAUCUGAUAUGGACUUUUAGGGCUCAUUAGUUAUUUUAGUAUUGUAUUUUGAUUUCUCAUAAUACCUUAUCUGGUUCUAGCAUUCCCUUUCUCAUUGUCAGCUUCAAGGUAUUGACACUUCUCUCAAGUCUUGUGUUGAAUUGACUGAGCUAAUGUGAGUGGUCAUUGAAUGUCUUUGAUUAGUUUCUUUGUUAUUUUCAUUUGAUGUAGUAGCAAACAGUUAGCUAAACUUAUAGCAGCAUUAACGUAUUAUACAUUUAGGCUAGAGAUGUAACAAUGAUGUUUCACUUCAUAUCAGGCAUGAGUCGAAUAAGAUCUUCAAACUAAAAUGAUAACCAAACAAUAAUUGGACACACUACUAAGUCUAACUUUCUUUUUAAUAUAACAGUAGUUAUAAGUUGUGAUUAUGGUCCUAACAUAAUGGUAGAGAAUAUUUUUGCAAUUAAGUUAUGAAGUGCCACUGAUAGCUAAAUGUUGGUACUUAGUAUUGGUUGUAUUCAGUUUAAAUGUUAUGUUUGAUGUACCUUAAGUGUUAUUGAUUAUUUUGAACUGAUUAAUUGUGAUUAAUUGGCUAUCAGCUGAAUUCGAUAAUUCUUUUCAUCAGGGAUUUAUAAGAAUAAUGGUUAUCUUAUGGUUUCUUGCAAUGGAGGACUCAACCAAAUGUGAGCAGCAGUGAGUUCCAAGUACUUAACAUUAACCACCUUUGCUAUAAUCGAGAAACUUAUAAGAGCGCAUUAGGUUUGAUUCUAUUUUUCAACAGAUAUGCGACAUGGUUGUUGUUGCAAGACAUUUAAAUGUCACUCUCAUAGUUCCAGAGCUCGAUAAAUCGUCUUUCUGGGAUGAUCCAAGGGUUUUCACAUUGUUAUUGUCGUAUCAUAAGCAUCUCCAAGUCUCCAAUUAUGAUUAUCAUCUUGAUUUGUUAAUUUGAGUGUUCUUUUUUCUGUUACUUUGAUAUGGCAGUGAGUUAUAAGACAUAUUUGAUGUAGAUAAUUUCUUUGCAUUCUUGAAACAAAUGUUUGGAUACUAUAUGAUAUUAACAUGUUUUGGAUACUCAGUUAACACUAAGUUCAAUGACUUAUUGGUUUUGAUUUUUUGUUUAGUGAUGUGAUUGAACACUAGCAGGAUGAUGGAGUAAACGAUACACUCUAUGACCAACUUGAACAUGCUAUGUUUGAGGAUAAUAAUGCUACUCGACAUGCAUAUCAAGAAAAUUUUAGGCGCGGAAAAGCUGGAAAAUAUGCCAUUGAAGCUAUACACUUUCCUGUGUGCAUGUACAAGCAUCAGUUUCGAUCUCAAUCUGAACAAGAAAUAUGAGCUGACCUAAUGGAUGCCCACUUGUAUGCAUUCAAAAGAUGAUGUUGGUGAUGUGUCUGUGAUUCAAAGACUUUAUCUUUCUGAAGCUUGGGACGUUCAUGAGAGGAGAAAAGAGAAGCCUUUGAUGAGAUGGAAAGUUCCUGCUAUGAAGAAUGAAAUUGAUAUGAAAAAUACUCAGAUUGUGAGCACACAUUGUUACAUAAUUGAGAUGAUGUUGUAAUGCUGUUCAUAGUUCAUAACUCUUUUGCUUUGUUUCUUAAAUA